AGACAACCUUGACCUUUCUAUUGUAAACAGGAAACCAACCCAACUGCGUUAUAAUGUCUCAUAUCAGUCUAAAUUUAAGCAGACACCACUUCCUAAAAGUAGCAAAGUUCAAUAGUCAAUGUUAUUAUCCCUGAUGUAAAUGUAAAUUCAAAUUGAAAAUAAUUAUUUUCUCAACACUCGAUUAUUCACCAACGAAUGAAAGACUCUAACCACAAAGUCUAAAGGCUAUUAUAUAGAGUGCUGCAAAUGAAGAACUAUUGUUAACUUCAGAAC